CUAAGAAUAUUCCGCAAUGGACGGAAGUCUGACGGAGCGACGCCGCGUGGAUGACGAAGGCCGAAAGGUUGUAAAGUUCUUUUGCUGGGGAAGAAUAACCGCAGGAGGGAAUGCCUGUGGGAUGACAAGAACCGGCGAAUAAGCCCCGGCCAACUACGUGCCAGCAGCCGCGGUAACACGUAGGGGGGCGAGCGUUGUUCGGAAUUACUGGGCGUAAAGGGCAUGUAGGCGGCUUGGAAAGCCUGGCGUGAAAGUCUGCAGCUUAACUGCAGGGGUGCGCUGGGAACUGCUGAGCUUGAGUGACGGAGAGGGAGCUGGAAUUCCUGGUGUAGGGGUGAAAUCUGUAGAUAUCAGGAAGAACACCGAUGGCGAAGGCAAGCUCCUGGCCGAUGACUGACGCUGAGGUGCGAAAGUGUGGGGAUCAAACAGGAUUAGAUACCCUGGUAGUCCACACAGUCAACGAUGUGCACUAGGUGCUGGGGCGGUAGCCUCGGUGCCGGAGCGAACGUGGUAAGUGCACCGCCUGGGGAGUAUGCUCGCAAGGGUGAAACUU
rnacentral:rRNA from 1 species